rnacentral:lncRNA from 1 species
AGAGCAGAGCCUGUUGCUGUCUCUUUCCUCUGCUGCUCAGCACAGGGACAGGUUCAGCUGUGCUCUCACCUGCAAGGUCUAGAUUGAUCGAUUGGAGAACCCCGUUUCUUUCCUAGGAUUGAAGCACUCUGUCUUCAAGAGCGAGUGGGGAAUGCAGAGAUAUCCUAGCAGCAAGCCCCACUUUCCAGUAACUGAAGUCAUCUGCAGACACUGAGACCGUCCUUCGGAGGUGGGGCAGCUGAGAACCAUUGAAUACGGGAAGGCGUCUGAAGGCUCGUGGAAGCAGGGAUGCAGAAACACAUCCUCAUCACCUCCCGUCUCGCCUUCUCCCUCAGGAGAGCUAGAAGUACAGUCCUCCCAGCAAGGUCCAGGGAGAAAGAGCUUGCUACAGGAGCAGUGGAAGCUGAAAGUGCCCUGGCCAGUGAGAUUCUUUAGCAGCUAAGCAACAGGCUGAAGUAGCUUCUGUGUUGGGCAAGGAGGCUUCUAACCAUCUGAGCCUACCAGUGGAAAAUCAAGCAGACCCGUAAAGCAAGACCUUACAUCCCACAGGCGUGGAGAAUUGGGUUAUGGCACUAAGCAAUGGAUUCCCAUCAGCCAAGGAAAAAAAAUGAUGCUGAUGAAUUUUAAAGUUCAUGUAGUCGGAGAUGUCCUGAUGCCUGCCACAAUGAACUUGACUGAUACAACCCAACAAGCAGAUGCUUGGUGUCUGGCCUGAAGCAUUGUUUAGCGGGAUGAGAGAUUAUAGGGCUCUUUACAAGUGAUCACCUACCAUGUAUGUGGGUAAAGGUUGACUACACAACCACCGUUCUGUAAAAAUGUGUUAAUCACAAGAAACAUACCACAAACCAUCAGAAAGAUUUGGCCUAGAUGUCCUGGAGAUAUUGGCACAACAAACAAGCAAACAAAACUCCAAAACAAAAGAAAUUCACAAACAAACAACAAGACCAAUGGCAUGUUUCAGUCCGUUGACUUUUUACCAGACAAGAAAUAAAAACUCUUCCUGGCUUGGG